rnacentral:rRNA from 1 species
AUUGAACGCUGGCGGCAGGCCUAACACAUGCAAGUCGAACGAGUGGCGGACGGGUGAGUAAGGUCUGGGAAACUGCCCGAUGGAGGGGGAUAACUACUGGAAACGGCAGCUAAUACCGCAUACCAUCGGAUGUGCCCAGAUGGGAUUAGCUAGUAGGUGGGGUAACGGCUCACCUAGGCGACGAUGCCUAGCUGGUCUGAGAGGAUGACCAGCCACACUGGAACUGAGACACGGUCCAGACUCCUACGGGAGGCAGCAGUGGGGAAUAUUGCACAAUGGGCGCAAGCCUGAUGCAGCCAUGCCGCGUGUAUGAAGAAGGCCUUCGGGUUGUAAAGUACUUUCAGCGAGGAGGCGUUAUUCGCAGAAGAAGCACCGGCUAACUCCGUGCCAGCAGCCGCGGUGAUUC